GAUGAACGCUAGCGAUAGGCCUAACACAUGCAAGUCGAGGGGCAUCACAUGAGGCAGCAAUGCCGAUGGUGGCGACCGGCGCACGGGUGAGUAACACGUAUGCAACCUGCCUUCAACAAGGGGAUAACCCGUUGAAAAACGGACUAAUACCCUAUAAUACAGGGGUCCCGCAUGGGGAUAUUUGUUAAAGAUUGAUCGGUUGAAGAUGGGCAUGCGUUCCAUUAGCUGGUUGGUGAGGUAACGGCUCACCAAGGCAACGAUGGAUAGGGGAACUGAGAGGUUUAUCCCCCACACUGGUACUGAGACACGGACCAGACUCCUACGGGAGGCAGCAGUGAGGAAUAUUGGUCAAUGGACGCAAGUCUGAACCAGCCACGUCGCGUGAAGGAAGACGGCCCUACGGGUUGUAAACUUCUUUUGUAAAGGGAAUAAAGUGUAGUACGCGUACUAUUUUGCAUGUACCUUACGAAUAGGAUCGGCUAACUCCGUGCCAGCAGCC
rnacentral:rRNA from 1 species